rnacentral:rRNA from 1 species
GAGGAAGGCGAAGAACCAUACNUGGUGUUGCCAUCCAGAGAAUCCNGCAGAGAUGCGGGAGUGCCUUCGGGAACUCUGAGACAGGUGGUGCAUGGCUGUCGUCAGCUCGUGUUGUGAAAUGNUGGGUUAAGUCCCGCAACGAGCGCAACCCUUAUCCUUUGUUGCCAGCACGUGAUGGUGGGAACUCAAAGGAGACUGCCGGUGAUAAACCGGAGGAAGGUGGGGAUGACGUCAAGUCAUCAUGGCCCUUACGANCAGGGCUACACACGUGCUACAAUGGCGCAUACAAAGAGAAGCGACCUCGCGAGAGCAAGCGGACCUCAUAAAGUGCGUCGUAGUCCGGAUUGGAGUCUGCAACUCGACUCCAUGAAGUCGGAAUCGCUAGUAAUCGUGGAUCAGAAUGCCACGGUGAAUACGUUCCCGGGCCUUGUACACACCGCCCGUCACACCAUGGGAGUGGGUUGCAAAAGAAGUAGGUAGCUUAACCUUCGGGAGGGCGCUUACCCAACUCC